rnacentral:rRNA from 1 species
GCUGAAAAGCGUAGUCGAUGGGAAACGGGUUAAUAUUCCCGUACUGGUGGUAACUGCGAUGGGGGAACGGAGAAGGCUAGGUUGUCCGGGCGACGGUCGUCCCGGUUCAAGCAGGUAGGCAGAGUGAUUAGGCAAAUCCGGUCACUUAAUGCUGAGAUGUGAUGACGAACCACCAAGGUGGUGAAGCAAUUGAUGCCCCGCUUCCAGGAAAAGCCUCUAAGCUUCAGGUUACCAACAAUCGUACCCCAAACCGACACAGGUGGUCAGGUAGAGAAUACUCAGGCGCUUGAGAGAACUCGGGUGAAGGAACUAGGCAAAAUGGUGCCGUAACUUCG